rnacentral:rRNA from 1 species
GACGAACGCUGGCGGCGUGCCUAAUACAUGCAAGUAGAACGCUGAAGGAGGAGCUUGCUCUUCUGGAUGAGUUGCGAACGGGUGAGUAACGCGUAGGUAACCUGCCUGGUAGCGGGGGAUAACUAUUGGAAACGAUAGCUAAUACCGCAUAACAGUAGAUGUUGCAUGACAUUUACUUAAAAGGUGCAAUUGCAUCACUACCAGAUGGACCUGCGUUGUAUUAGCUAGUUGGUGGGGUAACGGCUCACCAAGGCGACGAUACAUAGCCGACCUGAGAGGGGAUUCGACCCCACGGGAACUAGACCACGGCCCGACCUCCAACGGAGGGCGCCGUAGGGAAUUCUUCGCCAAUGAACGAAGUCCUACCGAGCCACCGCCCCGGAGGUAAGAAGGUUUUCCGAUCGUAAAGCCUCGUUGUAAGAGAAGAAAGAGUGUUAGAGUGGAAAGUUCACACUGUGACGGUAUCUUACCAGAAAGGGACGGCUAACUACGUG